rnacentral:lncRNA from 1 species
CCGCAACCCCAUAGUUGGUCAUGACUGGACCUAAUGGUCAGGGGUCCCUUUACCUUUACCUAGUCAUGUCUGACUCUUCGUGACCCCAUGGACCAGAGCACGCCAGGCACUCCUGUCUUCCACUGCCUCCCGCAGUUUGGUCAAACUCAUGUUGGUAGCUUUGAGAACACUGUCCAACUUAAUACCCUCCAACAUUUCUCCAAUGUGGCACAAAGGGCAGGAGAAUAUGAUGAAAAGGUACAUGUAAUCUGGGACAUGGGGGAAGUUUAUCAAAUGCAUGAUAGACAAAGCAGAUUGACUUUUCUGUCCAGAGCACUAGAACUCUGGGUAUCCCAAUGGAUUUUACUGGGAGUGGAUUCGAGACAGACCAACGUACUGCUCACAAAGCAGUGUGGAAUUUAUGUAGAUUUAUCACCAGGGUUCAUCUAGUCCAACCCCCUGAAAUACUGGGAUCUUUAAUCCAAUGUGGGGCUCAAACCCACAACCCUGAGAUUAAAAGUCUCGUGCUCUACCAACUCAGCUAUUCUAGCAGUAGAUCACUGCCGCUGUCUUAGAUAGAUCUGUUUCGUUUUUUAAAAGAAAAUGUAUGGAGGACAGCUAAGCUACUUAGCCAUGCUGAUAAAGUGGAAUCUCCACAUUUCAGGCAGCGUCAACCCCAACACCAGUUUGUGGGUCAUGUUGGUUUGAGAAUUUCCUAGAAGCACCUUGGCUGGCAACUCUUGGAAAUGGGUUGCUUGGCUAUGCAUGGAGCCUUGGUUUCUAGUCUCAUUGAAAUAUACUCAGAGUCGAGAGUGGAUUUCAUGCUCUUUAUUCAGCUCAUAGUGGUUUGGAGGAAUGAAAGUUUCCCCAAAAUAUCUGCUUUAUAUACAUUAUUUACACAAUGGGCUGCACGUGAUUGGCUAAUUCCGGGAUUCUCCUGUAGGCCAGUCAGGUUGCGGAUUCACUUCCACCUGAAGCUGGAUUGGGUGGCUCCUGUGGACCAAUCAUACUGCUGCAUUGUUCUCAAUUGCUGUAAUGUAUCUGCAAGGGGAUUUUCUGUACAGUGUGCCCAUGAUUCAAUGCAUAGAGAAUCCUGUUUGGGGGGCGGGGGGUAGGACUAUGACCUUCAGAUUCCCCUAUCUC